UCGAGUUUUGACUGGGUUGUAGCUGGCCUUCCGAGGCAUGUGCACGCCCUGCUCAUCCACUCUACACCUGUGCACUUACUGUGGGUAUCAGAUCGUGAAGCGUGCUCUUUUACCGGAGCUUGUGAAGCGUGUCUGUGCCUGCGUUUAUCACAAACACUAUAAAGUAUCAGAAUGUGUAUUACGAUGUAACGCAUCUAUAUA
rnacentral:misc_RNA from 1 species